GAUGAACGCUGGCGGCGUGCCUAAUACAUGCAAGUCGAGCGAAUGGAUUAAGAGCUUGCUCUUAUGAAGUUAGCGGCGGACGGGUGAGUAACACGUGGGUAACCUGCCCAUAAGACUGGGAUAACUCCGGGAAACCGGGGCUAAUACCGGAUAACAUUUUGAACCGCAUGGUUCGAAAUUGAAAGGCGGCUUCGGCUGUCACUUAUGGAUGGACCCGCGUCGCAUUAGCUAGUUGGUGAGGUAACGGCUAACCAAGGCAACGAUGCGUAGCCGAGCUGAGAGGGUGAUCGGCCACACUGGGACUGAGACACGGCCCAGACGCCUACGGGAGGCAGCAGUAGGGAAUCUUCCGCAAUGGACGAAAGUCUGACGGAGCAACGCCGCGUGAGUGAUGAAGGCUUUCGGGUCGUAAAACUCUGUUGUUAGGGAAGAACAAGUGCUAGUUGAAUAAGCUGGCACCUUGACGGUACCUAACCAGAAAGCCACGGUUAACUACGUGCCAGCCGCCGCGGUAA
rnacentral:rRNA from 1 species